rnacentral:rRNA from 1 species
GAUGAACGCUAGCGGCAGGCUUAACACAUGCAAGUCGAGGGGUAGGAGAAGCUUGCUUUUCUGAGACCGGCGCACGGGUGCGUAACGCGUAUGCAAUCUACCUUUCACAGAGGGAUAGCCCAGAGAAAUUUGGAUUAAUACCUCAUAGUAUAAUUGAAUGGCAUCAUUUAAUUAUUAAAGAUUUAUCGGUGAAAGAUGAGCAUGCGUCCCAUUAGCUAGUUGGUAUGGUAACGGCAUACCAAGGCAACGAUGGGUAGGGGUCCUGAGAGGGAGAUCCCCCACACUGGUACUGAGACACGGACCAGACUCCUACGGGAGGCAGCAGUGAGGAAUAUUGGACAAUGGGCGCAAGCCUGAUCCAGCCAUGCCGCGUGCAGGAUGACGGUCCUAUGGAUUGUAAACUGCUUUUAUACAGGAAGAAACACUCCCUCGUGAGGGAGCUUGACGGUACUGUAAGAAUAAGGAUCGGCUAACUCCGUGCCAGCAGCCGCGGUAAUACGGAGGAUCCAAGCGUUAUCCGGAAUCAUUGGGUUUAAAGGGUCCGUAGGCGGUCAGGUAAGUCAGUGGUGAAAGCCCAUCGCUCAACGGUGGAACGGCCAUUGAUACUGUCUGACUUGAAUUAUUAGGAAGUAACUAGAAUAUGUAGUGUAGCGGUGAAAUGCUUAGAGAUUACAUGGAAUACCAAUUGCGAAGGCAGGUUACUACUAAUUGAUUGACGCUGAUGGACGAAAGCGUGGGUAGCGAACAGGAUUAGAUACCCUGGUAGUCCGCGCCGUAAACGAUGGAUACUAGCUGUUGGGAGCAAUCUCAGUGGCUAAGCGAAAGUGAUAAGUAUCCCACCUGGGGAGUACGAACGCAAGUUUGAAACUCAAAGGAAUUGACGGGGGCCCGCACAAGCGGUGGAGCAUGUGGUUUAAUUCGAUGAUACGCGAGGAACCUUACCAAGGCUUAAAUGUAGAUUGACCGUUUGGAAACAGAACUUC